rnacentral:tRNA from 1 species
GAGGGUAUAGCUCAAGUGGUUAGAGCGUAUGCUUAGCAUGCAUGAGGUCCUGGGUUCAAUCCCCAGUACCCCCU